AUAUUGUAUCUUCGUGAUUAACAAUACCUCCCCUUGUUUCAGUGCUGCCAGCAGAUUAGUUGCAAGCAGAUCAAAAGCAUCAUAUCAGUUGCGAGCAGAUCAGUUUCACAAAAUCUGUUCUGAUCUGCUGUUUCUGAUCGGCUGGCAACUGAUCUGAUCUGCUUCUGAUCUGAUGAUGCAGAUCUGUUGCGAGCAGAUCAGAAGCAGCAACCGAUCAGAACAGCAGUUGUGAAACUGAUCUGCUGCUGCUUCUGAUCUGAUUCUUCAAUCUCUUUAAUCUGCAAUCACUCUCGAUUCUUCUCAGAUUUCUAUCUCUUUUAAGGUUUGUGGACCAACUUUCCCUUUUACUUUAAAUUCCUUUGCUUUGUUCUUUCAUUUCAGUGUUAUUUUUCCAUUUCAUGAACUGGGUAUGUCAAACAAUUCUCUAUUUGAUUUUUUUUAUUUGCUUGAAUUUCUUUGUUUCUGCCCUUUGGUUGGAUUUUAAUUGUUUCCAUUUCUUUGUCUUUUCAAUUUUUAUUGAUGAUUCGUCCCAUUUACAGCUGGUUUUGUUUGCUUGAAUCUGAAUAAAAUCAUUUGUUUCUUGGGUAAUUCUGAGGGGGUUUUCCUUUGUUGAUGGAUAUUUUGGACUUGUGAUUUUUUUUUUUGUGUGUGGGUGUUUUGAGGGUUCCUGAUUUUGGGUGUUAAAUGACCAAAUGGGUAUUUCUUGUUCUUUUUAUAUGUUUUUCCUUUGAUCAUCUUUGUUGAAAUUUUUUGUGUAGCUAACCUUAGUGGAGUAGUGAACACUAAUUGUACAUCAUAGCACUUCGCUCUUUUCCGUGUAAAUAGAUCUGACAUAAAGAUAUUUUCUGGCAUUAGCUUGAAUAAAGAGUCGAAAAGAAGUUUGUUAUAAGCAAAAGAUUAAAGAAAUUAUACCUAAUAAAUACCCCUCUCACAGAAGUUGGAGAAUGUAAAGUCCUUAGCUCCGAGCCUUGUCCGAGAGACUGCUGCAAUUUCCUCUUAUAUCAUAAAGGAAGAUUUUGAAGUUCUGUUGGCCAAAGGCCCAAAACUGAAGUAUGAUCUUAAUCUCGGUUUUCUACAGAAACUCCUCUCCACUUACAUUCUUUCGGGACUUCACUACCUCCUUUGACCUAUUUUGGUUAAUACCAGAUUAUUUAUUGGUCUUUCUGUAUCUAGGAAUAUUUCUACCUGAUAGAAAAGUUAAUUGUUUUAUCAAUGGUUUUUCAGCAUUCUUAGUGGUGCUAUGAUACAAGAAAGCUGAUAUCCUUGUGAUUAAUUAAUCUCAAGAAAGUUGUUUAUCUCACCCUCUUAUAUUUCUAUUUGAGAUUAGUUAUGUAAAUCUCCCAACAGUAAAGCAAUGUACUGCUACGCUUCACAUGUUCUAUGUUUCUUGUGUUGUAUUUUGAUCUCUUUGGGUACUGUGCUUCUUGUGUUGUAUUCUGAUAUCUUUGGGUAUUGUGUUUCUGUACUGCCACGGUGCAUUCUGAUCUGAUCAUAUUCUUUUUUUUUCUGAUAUGUACUGAUGCUUACUGAUCUGCAUUGAUAUUUUACUGGUCUGCACGGCUGCUGCAUAACUGCUCAGCUUGCUGAUCUGCACGGGUGCUGCAUCAUUAAGGUGCUUAAGUAUUAAGUACAGGAAAUUGGCAAUCGGCAAACAAAUAUGAUCCUCACAAAAAUCAUGUAGGUGGAAAAGAUUUUUCGCAGUCCAGAAAGCUUAUGUACUCCUACAGCGUGCAGGUAUUAAAUAAUCCAAGGGAGCGGCUUUUCACCUUUGAGGAGAUAGAUGAAGUUCGAGAAAUGUUGGCAAACUUUAUUACUAGUGAUUGUCUUUGAUAUUAUCUUGUACUGAAUCUUAAAUUAUGGAUGCUAGCUAGUUUUUCAUAUGAUUGUAAUGUAAUCGACUUUUAUAUUUACAAUCUAUACUAUUUAAUUAUCUAUAUAAUUGGAUACUUUUUAUAUGA